UAAUAUGCUAGUACGGUUUAGAUAGUUGGUAAGGUUAUUGCUUACCAAGUCAAAAAUGCCUAACUAAUCUAAGAGGGUGUUUAGUCACAUAAGAACUGAGAUAAGGUCUUAAAUCAUACGUGAUUCUGCAGUAGAGAAUAUUUGGACAAUGGACGAAAGUUUGAUCCAGAAAUGCUUACUGAAUGAUAGAAGGCUCUUGCUGUAAAGUUCUUUUAUUUAAAGAAGAUUAUGUCUGUAUUUAAAAAGGAAUUAGUUUUGGUUAAUACCUGUGCCAGCAGCUGCGGUAAUACAGGAGAAGCGGACGUUAUUCGUAGUGAUUGGGUGUAAAGGGUAUGUAGAUGGUUUUUAUUUUAUUUUUAUUAAAUAAAAAAUGUUAUUUUUUGUAAAGUAAGGUUAUAAUAAAAACUAGAGUUAUAAAUAAAAUAAUAAAAUUUCUAAUGAAGAGGUAAAAAUUGUUGAGCUUAGAAGGAAAACCAUAAAUGAAAAUAAUUAUUUGAUUAUAACUGACAUUAAUGAUACGUAGGUUAGGGGAGCAAACAAGAUUAGAGACCUUGGUAGUCCAUACUGUAAAUGCUAAAAAUUAAGAUUAUAAAUUAUGUGCCAACAUAACUAAUCUAUUAUAAUACUAUAGUUAACACGUUAAAUUUUUCACCUGGAGAGUAAUUACGCAAGUGUGAAAUUCAAAGAUGCUGGCGAAAGCAAAAACAAAUGAUGAAAUGUGUAAAUUAAAAUGAUGCACCGCGCGAAUCUUACCAGUGCUUAUUUAUAUUGAAAUUAUAUUUAAAAAAUAUAAUUAUAUAUGUAUAAAAGGAUGUUGCAUGGCUAUCGUCAAUUCAUGUUGAGAAAUGUUUGGUUAAUUUCAUUAAUGGAUGUAACCCUUUUUUUAUUAAUAAAAAACUUUGUCAAAAGGUAUUUAAGAUAAAAAUGUUAGUGAUAAGCUAUAUAUUAAAGGAUAAUUGUUAAGUCAUCAUGACUCUUUACGGAUUGGGCUUAAAAUGCAUUGCUAAAAAAUUAACAAAAAUUAUCAAAAGAGUAAUCUGGAGAAAUUAAAUAAAAAAUUUUUUGCGGAUUAUAUUCUGAAACUCGAAUAUAUGAAGAAGGAAUCAUAAGUAAUCGUAAAUCAGCACGUUCCGGUGAACUCGUUAAAUUUGCUUUGUACAUAUAGCUCGUCAGGUGUUUAGAACUAGUUUAAUUAAAAAUUAUUAUUGAAUUAUAAAGUGGUUUUUUAUUUAUAUUCAAAAAAUAUUUGUGUUUGAAUUGGGAAUGAAGAUUAAGUCGAAACAAGGUAUUGAUAGCGGAAGCUGUUGAUU
rnacentral:rRNA from 1 species